rnacentral:rRNA from 1 species
AUGCGAGUCGAAAGAGUUUAGGCUCGUGGCGUACGGCUCAGUAACACGUGGAUAACCUACCCUUAGGACUGGGAUAACCCUGGGAAACUGGGGAUAAUACUGGAUAGGCAAUUUUUCCUGUAAUGGUUUUUUGUUUAAAUGUUUUUUCGCCUAAGGAUGGGUCUGCGGCCGAUUAGGUAGUUGGUUAGGUAAUGGCUUACCAAGCCGUUGAUCGGUACGGGUUGUGAGAGCAAGAGCCCGGAGAUGGAACCUGAGACAAGGUUCCAGGCCCUACGGGGUGCAGCAGGCGCGAAACCUCCGCAAUGUGAGAAAUCGCGACGGGGGGAUCCCAAGUGCCAUUCUUAACGGGAUGGCUUUUCAUUAGUGUAAAGAGCUUUUGGAAUAAGAGCUGGGCAUGACCGGUGCCAGCCGCCGCGGUAACACCGGCAGCUCUAGUGGUAGCAAUUUUUAUUGGGCCUAAAGCGUCCGUAGCCGGUUUAAUAAGUCUCUGGUGAAAUCCUGUAGCUUAACUGUGGGAAUUGCUGGAGAUACUAUUAGACUUGAGACCGGGAGAGGUUAGAGGUACUCCCAGGGUAGAGGUGAAAUUCUGUAAUCCUGGGAGGACCGCCUGUUGCGAAGGCGUCUAACUGGAACGGUUCUGACGGUGAGGGACGAAAGUUAGGGGCGCGAACCGGAUUAGAUACCCGGGUAGUCCUAACUGUAAACGAUGCGGACUUGGUGUUGGGGUGGCUUUGAGCUGCUUCAGUGCCGAAGGGAAGCUGUUAAGUCCGCCGCCUGGGAAGUACGGUCGCAAGACUGAAACUUAAAGGAAUUGGCGGGGGAGCACCACAACGCGUGGAGCCUGCGGUUUAAUUGGAUUCAACGCCGGACAUCUCACCAGAGGCGACAGCUGUAUGAUAGCCAGGUUGAUGACUUUGCUUGACUAGCUGAGAGGUGGUGCAUGGCC